AGCGAACGCUGGCGGCAGGCCUAACACAUGCAAGUCGAACGGAUCCUUCGGGAUUAGUGGCGGACGGGUGAGUAACACGUGGGAACGUGCCCUUUGGUUCGGAACAACUCAGGGAAACUUGAGCUAAUACCGGAUGUGCCCUUCGGGAGAAAGAUUUAUCGCCAUUGGAGCGGCCCGCGUCUGAUUAGCUAGUUGGUGAGGUAAAGGCUCACCAAGGCGACGAUCAGUAGCUGGUCUGAGAGGAUGAUCAGCCACAUUGGGACUGAGACACGGCCCAAACUCCUACGGGAGGCAGCAGUGGGGAAUCUUGCGCAAUGGGCGUAAGCCUGACGCAGCCAUGCCGCGUGAAUGAUGAAGGUCUUAGGAUUGUAAAAUUCUUUCACCGGGGACGAUAAUGACGGUACCCGGAGAAGAAGCCCCGGCUAACUUCGUGCCAGCCGCCGCAGUAA
rnacentral:rRNA from 1 species